rnacentral:rRNA from 1 species
GUCUUUUUGAAUUUAAUUUAAAGUCUAUCUGCCCACUGAAAUUAAAUGGCCGCAGAAUUUUAACUGUGCAAAGGUAGCAUAAUCAUUAGUCUUUUAAUUGAGGGCUUGAAUGAAUGAUUGGACGAGGCAUAUGCUGUCUCAUUUGUAAUUUUAGAAUUUUACUUUUUAGUUAAAAGGCUAAAAUUUAUUUGAAAGACGAGAAGACCCUAUAGAUCUUUAUAUUUAUUAUGCUUAUUUUUGAUAGGAUAUUUUAUAAAUUAAUUAUAAUAAAUAUUUUAUUGGGGCGAUAGUGAAAUUUAGUAAACUUUCAUAUAGUUAGUACAUUAAUUUAUGAUUUUUUGAUCCAGUUUUAUUGAUUAAAAAUUUAAGUUACCUUAGGGAUAACAGCGUUAUUAUUUCGGAGAGUUCUUAUCGAUGAAAUAGAUUGCGACCUCGAUGUUGGAUUAAGAUUAAUUUUAGGUGUAGCAGUUUAAAAUAUUGAGUCUGUUCGACUCUAAUUUCUU